CCCUUAGAUGUUCUGGGCAGCACGCGCGCUACAAUGGUCUUCGCAAACGGAUGCAUUCUCGAAGGAGAAUGCCAAUCUUGGAAUCUAUGCCUUGGUCGGGACAGUUGCUUGCAAUUUUUCGACUCGAACCAGGAAUUCCUUGUAAUCGUGAUUCAUCACAUCACGAUGAAUACGUCCCUGCCCUUUGUACACACCGCCCGUCGCUCCUACCGAUCGAAGAGUUAGGUGAAUUGUUUUGAUCGAUAAGAUUUGACUAUGGUCAACUCUGGUUGUGAAAUUCUGUGAAUCUGACUGUUUAGAGGAAGGAAAAGUCGUAACA
rnacentral:rRNA from 1 species